GAUGAACGCUAUCUACAGGCUUAACACAUGCAAGUCGAGGGGCAGCAUGGUCUUAGCUUGCUAAGACUGAUGGCGACCGGCGCGCGGGUGAGUAACACGUAUCCAACCUGCCGUCUACUCUUGGACAGCCUUCUGAAAGGAAGAUUAAUACAAGAUGGCAUCAUGAGUCCACAUGUUCACAUGAUUAAAGGUAUUCCGGUAGACGAUGGGGAUGCGUUCCAUUAGAUAGUAGGCGGGGUAACGGCCCACCUAGUCUUCGAUGGAUAGGGGUUCUGAGAGGAAGGUCCCCCACAUUGGAACUGAGACACGGUCCAAACUCCUACGGGAGGCAGCAGUGAGGAAUAUUGGUCAAUGGGCGAGAGCCUGAACCAGCCAAGUAGCGUGAAGGAUGACUGCCCUAUGGGUUGUAAACUUCUUUUAUAAAGGAAUAAAGUCGGGUAUGCAUACCCGUUUGCAUGUACUUUAUGAAUAAGGAUCGGCUAACUCCGUGCCAGCAGCCGCGGUAAUACGGAGGAUCCGAGCGGUAUCCGGAUUUAUUGGGUUUAAAGGGAGCGUAGAUGGAUGUUUAAGUCAGUUGUGAAAGUUUGCGGCUCAACCGUAAAAUUGCAGUUGAUACUGGAUAUCUUGAGUGCAGUUGAGGCAGGCGGAAUUCGUGGUGUAGCGGUGAAAUGCUUAGAUAUCACGAAGAACUCCGAUUGCGAAGGCAGCCUGCUAAGCUGCAACUGACAUUGAGGCUCGAAAGUGUGGGUAUCAAACAGGAUUAGAUACCCUGGUGGUCCACACGGUAAACGAUGAAUACUCGCUGUUUGCGAUAUACAGCAAGCGGCCAAGCGAAAGCGUUAAGUAUUCCACCUGGGGAGUACGCCGGCAACGGUGAAACUCAAAGGAAUUGACGGGGGCCCGCACAAGCGGAGGAACAUGUGGUUUAAUUCGAUGAUACGCGAGGAACCUUACCCGGGCUUAAAUUGCAGAUGAAUUACGGUGAAAGCCGUAAGCCGCAAGGCAUCUGUGAAGGUGCUGCAUGGUUGUCGUCAGCUCGUGCCGUGAGGUGUCGGCUUAAGUGCCAUAACGAGCGCAACCCUUGUUGUCAGUUACUAACAGGUCCUGCUGAGGACUCUGACAAGACUGCCAUCGUAAGAUGUGAGGAAGGUGGGGAUGACGUCAAAUCAGCACGGCCCUUACGUCCGGGGCUACACACGUGUUACAAUGGGGGGUACAGAGGGCCGCUACCACGCGAGUGGAUGCCAAUCCCCAAAACCUCUCUCAGUUCGGACUGGAGUCUGCAACCCGACUCCACGAAGCUGGAUUCGCUAGUAAUCGCGCAUCAGCCACGGCGCGGUGAAUACGUUCCCGGGCCUUGUACACACCGCCCGUCAAGCCAUGGGAGCCGGGGGUACCUGAAGUGCGUAACCGCGAGGAGCGCCCUAGGGUAAAACUGGUGACUGGGGCUAA
rnacentral:rRNA from 1 species